AAAAAAAUAUUUGGGCCCAACUUGACUGACCUAAAAGAAGAGCCCAAUAGGAAGUCUAUAGUCUGUGAAUACAUUGGGCCGAAAUCUGCAAAGAGAAAACCAUGCUACUUGAUGAACUGGUCUGGAAAUGAGGUACGUAGUAGGCAGGUGAAUUGUGAAACUUUUUUGGGGACUAGCAAAAUGACAGAUUGUUGUGAAAAGCCUAUACAAGUCAGGAGAAGAGUCUACGAAGGGUUGAACUAGACAACCAUUUGUCUCCAUCAAAAUUAAUGCUUAACGUGUACUGUAUUGUUCGGUACUAAUUGUCGCCGGCGAUUUACAUAACGGUGGGGUAUUGCAGCAUUGUUAACUCAACAAUCAUAUUUGGAGCGUGGAGGCAAAAUUUUGGCCAAGACAUUACGUCGAACACCUGACAAACAACCCCAUUUUCUUCAUUUUUUGAGCCUCGUGCAGUCUGUAUAUGGACUAGCAAAAAUCCCAUUAAUUCUGCCCUCCCUCAAAACCAUUUUUCAACUUCAAAUGGAGAGAAGAAAUCCAUGAUUGUCGUGCCUCCUUCCUCUUCAUCCCGGACACUGGGGGUUUAUUUCCAGAGGAUAAAUGAUGGCCCCAUGUAUUUCUCUAGUUGUUUCUUGCUCCAUUUUUGUGCAUCCUGUUGAAGCAGAAUAUGUGAUGAGAAUUUGAGGAUGAAGAACACUUUUGGUUUUUGACUAUUCUGUCACGUAAAGAGUAAUUGAGGAGGGAAAAGAACCAGAAGAAGGAAAGAGGAAGCCAAUAAGAGCAACUGGAAUUCAAUGUCAUACGGUGCCGUUUUGAAUUAAAUGAAAUUGGUCAUAUGACUUUCGGCUGAGCCUAUAGAUACAGAAAGGGGGCAAAUGGUUUGGGAAGCUUUUGGGAACGUGAUAUUUUCAGUGUUACUGUUGAAAUCGUUCCAACACUUCUCCUUUCUUUCUUCUAAAGUUCUCUUUUAUCUUGUUCCCCUUCUCUUUUUAUCUUUGUCUGGUGACAUAUUCUUAGCUAUUUCAACUAAGUUCAGUGCAUUCUCUGUGUUACAGUAAGAAGCUGCCAUUGUUGAAGGUUUGAGCCGUGAUAAAUUGGUAUUAGAGCAGCCGAGUAAUUGGGUAAGUGAAAUCAUGGAUACUAGAGCUAAGUUGGUUGAUGAUCACCUGAAGAAAAUUGAUUUGGAAAUAACUGAUUUGGGAACUGCACUCAAGGCAGUCACCAGUAGGCUUAAGGGGAAGUUAGAUUUCACUGAGCAGAAUCUACAAGUAUUUGGGCACAGACAGGAGAAAAUGGAGAGUACAAUUUUAAAUAUGAACCUAAAAUAUGAGAAACUAGUGAAUAUGGUGGCACAAUUGUCAUGUGAUUUGAAAGCAGAUCAAAAGAGCAAAGGAGUAGAAGGGUCUUCUGAGCAUAUGAGAUCUGGGAGUGGACUAACUCUAUAAGGGUCGGAUGGGCAAGAGAGUAGAAGCCAUAUAAGGGGUGAAUAUAAAGGAGAUACUAAGCUACCUAAAAUCGACUCCAUCAGAUUCCAGAUGAGUUGAAAAUGGCUUAGAGAAGAUAGAAAAUAUUUUCGACUCCAUCAGAUUCCAAAUGAGUUGAAGAUGGAAAUUGUAGAGAUGUAUCUUAAAGGUAAGGCUGAUAUAUGGUUUGAUGGCUUCAUUGCAAGUCACCCAAGUGCAGAUUGGAAAUGUUUUCUGAGGGGAUUUGUAGAAGAUUUGCAGAAAAUACUAGAGAAGAAGUGGUGGAAACUUUCAGUAAGAUCAGGCAAGUAAGCUCCAUUGCUAAAUACCCGGAGAAGUUUGAGGAGUUGAAAGCUCAAGUAAUGGUAUCCCUUUCCCAUGUCCCUGAACCCUAUUAUAUGUCAAUACUUACAAGUGGCUUGAAGUAGAGAUCAAAUCCAUGGUUAAGAUGAUGAGGCCUGAUACUUUAGCUAAGUCCUUUGAGAUUGCCUGCCUCCAAGAGUCUACCAUCCUUGCCAUUAACAAAUUUCAGAAACCAAAGAAUUUCACAACCAACCAAAGCAGGUGGAACCCCCCUUAUACUAGACCACAUGACGAUAUGAAAUCCACUGAUCCAAGUCCCAAAAUCAAUAAAACACACCAGCAGUACAAAACCAUCACCCCUACUAACUUUCAAACAAAAAGAAACCUAGGCCUGUGCUAUAAGUGUGAUGAAAAGUACACUCUAGGCCACGUUUGUAAGAAUAUAUCCAUCAACUUCUUAUUAGUGGAUGAGGAGGAAGAGGAGGAAUCCAAGGAAACCAAGGACCCUAAAAUAGAAAGAGAGUCGGGGGAGAAAGAGAUAAUAGAGAUAUCUAUUGAUGCACUGGCGGAAGGAUGGAGACAUCAGACCAUCAGAGUACUGGGAAUCAUCAGGGAAAGAAAACUAUCCAUCUUAAUAGACAGUGGGAGCACUCACAGUUUUUUAGAUCAGACAUUGGCUAGAGAGUUGAAAUACAACACUGAAGGGUCCAACAAAGUAACAGUCAGGGUAGUAAAUGGGGAUAAACUAGAAAGUAAAGCCAUAUGUCAACCAGUGGUAUGGAAAAUUCAAAGUUGGGAAUUCCUAUACAAACUUAGGACCCUUAAGUUGGCAGGAAGUGACAUGGUUUUGGGAGUGAAUUGGAUGAGCCAAUUUGGCCCUAUUGAAUUUGAUUUUGUUGAGGGUUAUGUUAAAUUCCAGAGAUAGAACUGUGAGGUGAAGUUGAGAAAUGAAGUAUCAAAAUUAGCAGUGGGCAUGAUAGAGGCACAAGAGAUGGAAAGGAUAAUGGACAAGAAUCACUAUGGAGUUAUGGGACAAUUAUAUGCCCUUAAAGAGGAAAAAUCCAAAGAGGUGGUACUUAGCAAACUACUGGAAGUAAUCCAUCAAUUCUUAGGGGUGUUUAAGGAACCAAAAGGGCUACCUCCACCAAGAUCACAUGACCACCACAUUCCUCUUAAAGAAGGUGCCCAGACUUUUAAAAUAAGACCCUACAGGUGUCCGUUCAUUCAGAAGACAGAGAUAGAAAAGCUGAUUAAAGAAAUGCUGGAAUCUAGGAUUAUACAAGCAAGCAAUAGUCCUUUUGCCUCACCUGUACUCCUUGUCAAGAAGAAAGAUGGCACUUGGAGAUUCUGAGUUGAUUACAAGCAGUUGAAUGCCUUAACAAUCAAGGACAAAUUCCCAGUGCCACUUAUUGAUGAACUAUUAGAUGAACUUCAUUGAGCGAAGUUUUUUUCGAAAAUUGAUCUUACAGCAUGUUAUCAUCAGAUAAGAGUUACUGAAAGAGAUGUUCAUAAGACUACAUUUAAAACACACCAAGGGCUAUACGAGUUCAAGAUGAUGCCCUUUGGUCUCACCAAUGCACCCGCUACCUUCCAAAGCCUCAUGAAUGAGGUAUUGAAGGACCAUCUGAGGAGAUACGUGUUAGUAUUUUUUGAGGAUAUUUUAGUGUACAACACUGAUCUAUCCUCUCAUUGCUAAUAUCUGGAAUCAGUAAUGGGGAUAUUACAGAAACACCAACUAUAUGCCAAGAGGUCCAAGUGCAGUUUUGGGCAAUUGAAGAUUGAGUACCUAGGUCAUAUUAUUAGCAAAGAAGGAGUCUCUCUGUUGAUCCCAUCAAGGUGGAAGCAAUGCAGCUAUGGCCUAAACCUAGGAAUAUCAAACAAUUGAGGGGCUUCCUAGGGUUGACUGGGUAUUACAGAAAGUUUAUCAAGGGUUACGGGGUGAUAGCUAGGCCAUUAACAGAUAUGAUUAAGAAAGACAAUUUUCAAUGGACAGAGGCUGGAGAUUUAGCCUUUGAAGGAUUAAAAUAAGCCAUGCAUUCAACACCUGUGCUUGCUUUACCCGAUUUUCGUCAACCCUUUAUCAUUGAAACCGAUGCUUGCCAAAGUGGAAUUGGUGCUGUGCUAAUGCAAGGCAGAAGGCCUCUAGCCUACCUAAGGAAGGCUAUUGGAAUCAGAAACAUGGGUAUGUCAAUAUACAAAAAAGAACUACUAGCCUUAGUCACUGCUGUUAGUAAAUAGAGACAUUAUUUAGAGGGCCACCACUUCAUCAUAAAGACCGACCACCAAUCUCUCAAAUAUCUUUUAGAACAUAGGAUUACAACCCCUCUUCAACAGAAAUGGCUCACUAAAUUGUUGGGACUCAGUUAUGAAAUAUUGUAUAAACGAGGAAUUGAUAACUUGCUAGCUGAUGCAUUGUCAAGGAGGCACGAGAAAAAGGUGAAGUGUGCGGGAAUCACCACUGUUAUUCCCACUUGGAUACAAGAGGUUAUUGAUAGCUACAAGGACGACAACUUUGCUAAGGAGAAAAUCCAGUUAGUCAUGUUAAAUUCAACAGCAGAUCCAGACUUCCUAUACCUCAACAAUAUUUUGAAGUAGAAAGGCAGGUUAUACAUAGGUUCCGGGGGUAAUAUCAGAUCUAAACUAAUUCAGAAUAUUCAUGGGUCUCAAAAAGGAGGGCAUUCAGGCAUACAUGGGCUGAUAUACAAAGCAAAGCAACAUUUUUACUGUCCUGACAUGAAUUGGGACAUCAAAACUGAGGUUCUACAGUGUGAAACUGCUAGAAGUGUAAAAGGGGGAAUGUACCUUACCCUGGACUGUUAUAGCCUCUUUCUGUGCCUCUGCAUGCUUGGAGCCACAUUAGUAUGGACUUCAUUGAAGGAUUGCCUAAUUCAGGAGGUAAAGACACUAUAUUAGUGGUGGUCGACAGAUUUACGAAGUAUGGUCAUUUCUUGGCACUUGCGCAUCCAUUCACAGUCGUGUCAAUUGCCAAAAAUUUCCUUGAUUCUAUUUCUAAACUUCAUGGCAUACCUCAGAGCAUCAUUUCUGACAGGGAUAAGACAUUUACAAGCAAAUUUUGGCAAGAAUUGUUUAAACUCAUGGUACCCAGUUGCAUUUAAGUUCUGCCUACCAUCUUCAAUCUGAUGGGCAGACAGAACGACUCAACCAGUGCCUUGAAAUGUACCUACGGUGUAUGACUUUUCAACAUCCUAAACAAUGGGGUAAGUGGUUGUGAUUAGCUGAGUGGUAGUACAAUACCUCCUAUCAUUCCUCUAUCCGAAUGACUCCCUUUUAAGCUCUUUAUGGGAUCAAGCCUCCUCAGCUCUCACUGGGUCCUUACUAGCAGUCUAAUGUGGCUGCAGUCAAAGAAUUACUAUAGCAUAGGUACCAACUAAAUCAGCAGCUGAAAGAAAGCUUAGCACAAACAGGGGUAAGGAUGAAACUAUAUGCUUGCACGAAGCAUUUUGAGAGGUCUUUUAAUGAAGGAGAGUGGGUCUUUGGACCAUAUCAGAUUACCAAGAAGAUAGGCACGAUGGCAUGCAAAUUGGCACUUCCUGCCAGCUCCAAAAUUCAUCCAGUCUUUCAUGUUUCAUUGUUGAAGAAGAAGUUAGGUGACAGGACAAUGCCAGUACUUCAAUUGCCCGAUGAGAAUCGGUUUAAACUACCAACACAUCAUCCAUUAUCCAUCUUACAGUCUAGUACCAUUAUUCGUAAAAAUAACACCACCAUCCAGUGGCUUAUUCAUUGGUCAGAUUCUACUCCAGAUUGUGCAACCUGGGAAGACACCAAUUGGAUCAAACUACAAUUUCCUCUCUGUCGAUCUUGGGGAUAAGAUCAAGGUGAGGGAAGGGUUGUCAUGUAAAGAGUAAUUGGGAAGGAAAAAAUGCAGAACCAGAGGAAUGAAAGAUGAAGCCAAUAAGAGCAACUGGAAUUCAAAGUCAUAUGGUGCCGUUUUGAAUUAAAUGAAAUUGUAAUAUGUUUUGUUAAAACGCAUUUUCUUUAUUUUCUUUUGGUAAUACGACUUCCGGCUGAGCCUAUAGAUACAGAAAGGGGGCAAAUUGUUCGAAAAUCUUUUGGGAACGUGAUAUUUUCAGUGGUACUAUUGAAAUCGUUCAACACUUCUCCUCUCUUUCUUCUAAAGUUCUUUUUUAUCUUAUUCCUCUUCUCUUUUUAUCUUUGUCUGGUGACAUUUUCUUAG
rnacentral:lncRNA from 1 species